UACGGGGGGGGCAAGCGUUGUUCGGAAUUACUGGGCGUAAAGGGCUCGUAGGCGGCCGACUAAGUCAGACGUGAAAUCCCCCGGCUUAACCGGGGAACUGCGUCUGAUACUGGACGGCUUGAAUUCGGGAGAGGGAUGCGGAAUUCCAGGUGUAGCGGUGAAAUGCGUAGAUAUCUGGAGGAACACCGGUGGCGAAGGCGGCAUCCUGGACCGACAUUGGCGCUGAGGAGCGAAAGCCAGGGGAGCAAACGGG
rnacentral:rRNA from 1 species